rnacentral:rRNA from 1 species
UACGUAGGGUGCAAGCGUUGUCCGGAAUUAUUGGGCGUAAAGAGCUCGUAGGCGGUCUGUCGCGUCGGCUGUGAAAUCCCGAGGCUCAACCUCGGGUCUGCAGUCGAUACGAGCAAACUAGAGUGUUGCAGGGGAGACUGGAAUUCCUGGUGUAGCGGUGAAAUGCGCAGAUAUCAGGAGGAACACCGGUGGCGAAGGCGGGUCUCUGGGCAACAACUGACGCUGAGGAGCGAAGCGUGGGGAGCGAACAGG